ACACUGCGAGAAAGCGGUCGCACAGGUAGGGUGGAGAGAGGCAGGCUGAGCGAGGUCAAAGUCCUGGAAACGCUCACAGCAGGGCACAGAGGACCCCGCCAAUUCCAACCCCCGGGAUGCGAGCACAGCACCCCCAUCCCAGAAAGCUUCCGUGGACGGGAAAAAAACCCCAUUCCCCGCCCCCACCAAACCUCCGCUCUCCGCCAAGGCUUCUUUUCCCUUGCUUGGAUCAUCGAUCAUCGGGUCGUUGCGACCCCAAGCGAAGGUGACAAGUUCAGAAGGACCCGCCAGACGCAGAAAUGGCUCAAACUACGCGGUUAUGUAGCAACCGCAGGCUCACACACCGGAAGUGCUCGCGUCUCCACAGAGCGUCUGGACUCCACUUCCCAGAAUUCCCCGGUUCAACUGCUUGAGCCAAAGGGUCCGCCAUUCCAUGAAGUUGAUGGACUACAGUUCCCAGAAUUCACUCGUCCACCCGCCUGAGCCAACUUGCCCGCGACUCAGAGUGUGUCUGGACUCCGCUUCCUCCAAUGCCAAAGGAAAAUGUCUAUAAUCUCACUCUUCAGCGGGAAGCGUUGGACUCCGCGGUGGUCCUUGACUACACACACCGCAGUGCCCACCGGGAACGUAUUCCAUAUCUCUGAGCGCCUGGUGGGGAAUGUGGACUGUGACCCUGUGAGUCGUCCGUCUCUCUUCCUGAGUCUUUGAGCGAAAAUAGUGUAUAGACAGGAAUUCCUGAAGUCUAAACGCCUCCCACGAUGACAGGAGUGUUAUUGGGAAGAGAACAAACGAGGAGAUAAAAUCUUCAAGGAUUAGGAUAAUCUGACGAUGGGAGGUUAAAACUAACGGUUUAAAGGAUGAGCCAGGUGGAAUGGUUUGGCAGGGGCAAUGAGGAGCAGGAAGACACCAGCCCCUACUCCAGAAGCUGUGGGACCACUGGUUUGGCAGGAAAAGCCACCCCCAUUUAAGAUCACAGCUACUAGUGGAGAAGCGGUGUCGUCAUGGAAUAGCUAUCUUCCCAUAAACUUUUCAUGGACUGGAUGAAAUGUAUCAUCAGCAUGGAUUCUGUGAUAAAUUACAAGAUACAAACUCAAAAGGAACUGCUUUCUAUGUGCCUCAUAUUUUAAUGUUUCUCCCCUUUGUGAAUGCUUAGGUGAGACUGUAGUCAUGAAAACUGAGUAAAGACUUUAUUACACACAUUACUGAGGCUUCUCUCCAAUGUGGACAUUCUGAAGUUGAAGACUUGAGGCCUGAAUGAAGCACAUACCACCCUCCUCAUACUUCCGUAGUUUCUCUCCCGUGUGGAGCUUCUGAAGCAUAAUAAAAUUCAAGUGAUCCAGC
rnacentral:lncRNA from 1 species